rnacentral:rRNA from 1 species
AACGAACGCUGGCGGCAGGCUUAACACAUGCAAGUCGAGCGCCCCGCAAGGGGAGCGGCAGACGGGUGAGUAACGCGUGGGAAUCUACCUUUUGCUACGGAAUAACUCAGGGAAACUUGUGCUAAUACCGUAUGUGCCCUUCGGGGGAAAGAUUUAUAGGCAAAGGAUGAGCCCGCGUUGGAUUAGCUAGUUGGUGGGGUAAUGGCCUACCAAGGCGACGAUCCAUAGCUGGUCUGAGAGGAUGAUCAGCAACAUUGGGACUGAGACACGGCCCAAACUCCUACGGGAGGCAGCAGUGGGGAAUAUUAGACAAUGGGCGCAAGCCUGAUCCAGCCAUGCCGCGUGAGUGAUGAAGGCCCUAGGGUUGUAAAGCUCUUUCACCGGUGAAGAUAAUGACGGUAACCGGAGAAGAAGCCCCGGCUAACUUCGUGCCAGCCGCCGCGGUAA